AAAUUGAAGAGUUUGAUCAUGGCUCAGAUUGAACGCUGGCGGCAGGCCUAACACAUGCAAGUCGAGCGGAAACGAGUUAUCAGAACCUUCGGGGAACGAUAACGGCGUCGAGCGGCGGACGGGUGAGUAAUGCCUAGGAAAUUGCCCUGAUGUGGGGGAUAACCAUUGGAAACGAUGGCUAAUACCGCAUAAUGCCUACGGGCCAAAGAGGGGGACCUUCGGGCCU
rnacentral:rRNA from 1 species